rnacentral:sRNA from 15 species
GUCAGGAACCCACGACUAAAGUCGAGGGCUUGCAAGCCCUAACCUGACCAGCCUCAGCUGAAAGCCCCACAGGUCUUUCAGCUACGUUACCGGCGAAUACAUAGGUACCCUGGAGUGCAUUUCCCAGCCCCAGGCUCUACG